rnacentral:tRNA from 2 species
GCCCCCAUCGUCUAGUGGUCCAGGACGUCGCCCUUUCAAGGCGGUAGCACGGGUUCGAACCCCGUUGGGGGCA